rnacentral:rRNA from 1 species
AUUGAACGCUGGCGGCAUGCCUUACACAUGCAAGUCGAACGGCAGCGGACCUUCGGGUGCCGGCGAGUGGCGAACGGGUGAGUAAUAUAUCGGAACGUACCUUUCAGUGGGGGAUAACGUAGCGAAAGUUACGCUAAUACCGCAUAUUCUGUGAGCAGGAAAGCAGGGGAUCGCAAGACCUUGCGCUGAUUGAGCGGCCGAUAUCAGAUUAGCUAGUUGGUGAGGUAAAGGCUCACCAAGGCGACGAUCUGUAGCGGGUCUGAGAGGAUGAUCCGCCACACUGGAACUGAGACACGGUCCAGACUCCUACGGGAGGCAGCAGUGGGGAAUUUUGGACAAUGGGCGCAAGCCUGAUCCAGCCAUGCCGCGUGAGUGAAGAAGGCCUUCGGUUGUAAG